rnacentral:rRNA from 1 species
AUGCUGAGUAGUAAACCAUGGAGCUUUAUGCUGCUCGCCGUCGUCGUCGCCGCGGCGUCGGGCUUCGUGGCGGCGGAGGCGACGGGCUGGUCGAAAGGCUCGGCCACGUUCUACGGCGGCAGCGACGCCUCCGGCACCAUGGGUGGCGCGUGCGGGUACGGCAACCUGUACUGGACGGGAUACGGGACGGGCACGGCGGCGCUGAGCGAGGCGCUGUUCGGCGAUGGCGCGUCGUGCGGGCAGUGCUACCGGGUGAUGUGCGACCACGAGUCCGAGUCGCAAUGGUGCCUGCCGGGGAAGUCGGUGACCGUCACGGCCACCAACCUGUGCCCGCCCAACUACGCCCUCGCCGGCGGCGACGGCGGCUGGUGCAACCCGCCGCGCGCGCACUUCGACAUGGCCCAGCCCGCCUGGCUCCACAUCGGCAUCUACAAGGGCGGCGUCGUGCCGGUGCUCUACCAAAGGGUAGCGUGCGUGAAGCGGGGAGGGGUGCGGUUCACCAUGGGAGGGUUCGAGCACUUCCAGCUGGUGCUCAUCUCGAACGUGGCCGGGACAGGGGACGUCAAGGCGGUGUGGGUGAAGGGGACGGCCACGGAGAGGAUGCCGAUGAGCCGGAAUUGGGGCGCCAACUGGCAGUCGCUGGCGGCGCUCGCCGGCCAGGCGCUCACCUUCGGGGUCACCGACACCGGCGGCCAGACCGUCGUCUUCCCGAACGUCGUGCCGGCGUGGUGGAGCUUCGGCCAGGCCUUCACCUCCAGCCUUCAGUUCUCCUACUGA